UACAGAGGUCCCAAGCGUUGUUCGGAUUCACUGGGCGUAAAGGGUGCGUAGGCGGCCGGGUAAGUCUGAUGUGAAAUCUCACAGCUUAACUGUGAAACUGCAUUGGAUACUAUCCGGCUCGAGGAAUGGAGGGGAGACUGGAAUACUUGGUGUAGCAGUGAAAUGCGUAGAUAUCAAGUGGAACACCAGUGGCGAAGGCGAGUCUCUGGACAUUUCCUGACGCUGAGGCACGAAAACCAGGGGAGCAAACGGG
rnacentral:rRNA from 1 species